rnacentral:rRNA from 1 species
UAGCUACAGGCUUAACACAUGCAAGUCGAGGGGCAUCAGGAAGAAAGCUUGCUUUCUUUGCUGGCGACCGGCGCACGGGUGAGUAACACGUAUCCAACCUGCCCUUUACUCGGGGAUAGCCUUUCGAAAGAAAGAUUAAUACCCGAUAGCAUAAUGAUUCCGCAUGGUUUCAUUAUUAAAGGAUUCCGGUAAAGGAUGGGGAUGCGUUCCAUUAGGUUGUUGGUGAGGUAACGGCCCACCAAGCCUUCGAUGGAUAGGGGUUCUGAGAGGAAGGUCCCCCACAUUGGAACUGAGACACGGUCCAAACUCCUACGGGAGGCAGCAGUGAGGAAUAUUGGUCAAUGGGCGCUAGCCUGAACCAGCCAAGUAGCGUGAAGGAUGAAGGCUCUAUGGGUCGUAAACUUCUUUUAUAUAAGAAUAAAGUGCAGUAUGUAUACUGUUUUGUAUGUAUUAUAUGAAUAAGGAUCGGCUAACUCCGUGCCAGCAGCCGCGGUAAUACGGAGGAUCCGAGCGUUAUCCGGAUUUAUUGGGUUUAAAGGGAGCGUAGGUGGACUGGUAAGUCAGUUGUGAAAGUUUGCGGCUCAACCGUAAAAUUGCAGUUGAUACUGUCAGUCUUGAGUACAGUAGAGGUGGGCGGAAUUCGUGGUGUAGCGGUGAAAUGCUUAGAUAUCACGAAGAACUCCGAUUGCGAAGGCAGCUCACUGGACUGCAACUGACACUGAUGCUCGAAAGUGUGGGUAUCAAACAGGAUUAGAUACCCUGGUAGUCCACACAGUAAACGAUGAAUACUCGCUGUUUGCGAUAUACAGUAAGCGGCCAAGCGAAAGCAUUAAGUAUUCCACCUGGGGAGUACGCCGGCAACGGUGAAACUCAAAGGAAUUGACGGGGGCCCGCACAAGCGGAGAAACAUGUGGUUUAAUUCGAUGAUACGCGAGGAACCUUACCCGGGCUUAAAUUGCAGUGGAAUGAUGUGGAAACAUGUCAGUGAGCAAUCACCGCUGUGAAGGUGCUGCAUGGUUGUCGUCAGCUCGUGCCGUGAGGUGUCGGCUUAAGUGCCAUAACGAGCGCAACCCUUAUCUUCAGUUACUAACAGGUCAUGCUGAGGACUCUGGAGAGACUGCCGUCGUAAGAUGUGAGGAAGGUGGGGAUGACGUCAAAUCAGCACGGCCCUUACGUCCGGGGCUACACACGUGUUACAAUGGGGGGUACAGAAGGCAGCUAGCGGGUGACCGUAUGCUAAUCCCAAAAUCCUCUCUCAGUUCGGAUCGAAGUCUGCAACCCGACUUCGUGAAGCUGGAUUCGCUAGUAAUCGCGCAUCAGCCACGGCGCGGUGAAUACGUUCCCGGGCCUUGUACACACCGCCCGUCAAGCCAUGGGAGCCGGGGGUACCUGAAGUACGUAACCGCAAGGAUCGUCCUAGGGUAAAACUGGUGACUGGGGCUAAGUCGUAACAAGG